rnacentral:rRNA from 1 species
GGCGGCAGGCCUAACACAUGCAAGUCGAGCGCCCGUAGCAAUACGGGAGCGGCAGACGGGAGAGUAACACGUGGGAACGCGCCCUUCGGUUCGGAAUAACUCAGGGAAACUUGAGCUAAUACCGGAUACGCCCUUACGGGGAAAGAUUUAUUGCCGAAGGAACGGCCCGCGUCCGAUUAGCUUGUUGGUGAGGUAAUGGCUCACCAAGGCGACGAUCGGUAGCUGGUCUGAGAGGAUGACCAGCCUCACUGGGACUGAGACACGGCCCAGACUCCUACGGGAGGCAGCAGUGGGGAAUAUUGGACAAUGGGCGCAAGCCUGAUCCAGCCAUGCCGCGUGGAUGAUGAANGCCCUAGGGUUGUNAAGUCCUUUUAACGGGGAAGAUAAUGACGGUACCCGUAGAAUAAGCCCCGGCUAACUUC